UGCUGCUGGAUCUCUGUUGAUUGUAGCUGCAAUUGGGAUUGUCUGCAUUUGCAGGAAAUGUAGAAAAACCGAUCAAGAAGUUCAAACUCACACAAAGGAGAUAAUUUACUCUGAUCCAACAUUCUACAAAAGGCGUGGAGGAGGAAAGCCUCAAAACUGUCAUGGGACAAAGAGAGUUAAAGAGGAGAAUGAUGUGGUGUAUGCUGGAGUUGCUGUGAGAUGAAAUAAAUAUAU